rnacentral:rRNA from 1 species
AAAUAAUGCUGGGGUACGAUGCGGAGCGAAAUUUAGUAGCGAAGUAGCUGAUUUCACACUGUCGAGAAAAGUCUCUAUCGAGUUUAAAGGUGCCUGUACCGCAAACCGACACAGGUGGGUGAGGAGAGUAUCUUAAGGCCAGCGAGAGAACUGUUGUUAAGGAACUCGGCAAAAUGACCCCGUAACUUAGGGAGAAGGGGUGCCUUCGAAAGAAGGCCGCAGAGAAUAGGCCCAAGCGACUGUUUACCAAAAACAUAGGUUUCUGCUAAGUCGCAAGACGAUGUAUAGGAGCUGACGCCUGCCCGGUGCUGGAAGGUUAAGGGGAUCUGUUAGAGCAAUCGAAGCAGUGAACUUAAGCCCCAGUAAACGGCGGCCGUAACUAUAACGGUCCUAAGGUAGCGAAAUUCCUUGUCGGGUAAGUUCCGACCCGCACGAAAGGCGUAACGAUUUGGGCACUGUCUCAACAACAGACUCGGUGAAAUUGUAAUACCGGUGAAGAUGCCGGUUACCUGCGACAGGACGGAAAGACCCCAUGGAGCUUUACUGUAGCUUGACAUUGAGUCUCGGUGCUACAUGUACAGGAUAGGUGGGAGACUAUGAAGCAUGGACGUCAGUCUGUGUGGAGUCAUCCUUGGGAUACCACCCUUGUAGUACUGGGAUUCUAACCAGAGGCCAUGAAUCUGGUCUUGGGACACUGUCAGGUGGACAGUUUGACUGGGGCGGUCGCCUCCCAAAAAGUAACGGAGGCGCUCAAAGGUUCUCUCAGUACGGUCGGAAAUCGUACGAAGAGUGUAAAGGCAAAAGAGAGCUUGAUUGCAAGACAUACAGGUCGAGCAAGGACGAAAGUCGGACUUAGUGAUCCGGUGGUUCCGCAUGGAAGGGCCAUCGCUCAACGGAUAAAAGCUACCCUGGGGAUAACAGGCUGAUCUCCCCCAAGAGUCCACAUCGACGGGGAGGUUUGGCACCUCGAUGUCGGCUCAUCACAUCCUGGGGCUGUAGUAGGUCCCAAGGGUUGGGCUGUUCGCCCAUUAAAGUGGUACGCGAGCUGGGUUCAGAACGUCGUGAGACAGUUCGGUCCCUAUCCGUCGCAGGCGUAGGAAAUUUGAGGAGACCUGUCCUUAGUACGAGAGGACCGGGAUGGACGUACCGCUGGUGUACCAGUUGUUCUGCCAAGGGCAUGGCUGGGUAGCUAAGUACGGAAAGGAUAAGCGCUGAAAGCAUCUAAGCGCGAAGCCCACUUCAAGAUAAGAUUUCCCACCGCAAGGUUAAGAUCCCAGGAAGACUACCUGGUUGAUAGGUCAGAGGUGUAAGUGCAGUAAUGUAUUUAGCUUACUGAUACUAAUAGAUCGAGGACUUGACCA